ACACACACACACACACACGGGGCUCCUGGGAGCGUGCCCACGGCCACACCGUGAGCGGCUGGCAGGGCCCAGCCUGGGUCGCUGGCCUCACAGUGCACCCAGUGAAGCCCGAGGACGGGGUGCAGCAGCAGGUGGCCCCCAGGAGGCCACGGGGGGGGG